rnacentral:lncRNA from 1 species
GGAGUUGCCGCCAUUUUGCGGGAAGAGGAGCAGCUCCAGUUGUAGUGGGGCUCUUACUGCUGAGUCUCUGGAAGGGAGCCGUGCUUCGCGUCCCCCGACACACCCAAAGGAACGAAGGGAACCGGGACCCCCCCACCCAGCGGGGACCCGGAACUGCUGUCUUCAGUUUGGAGAUGUUUGUGCCCAGCUCAGUUACCGGACCCAGGAGAUGGCGCUACCAUCACCUCUGGGACUCCAGCGUUUGGUGAAUUCUGCCUGAUGGGGCUGACAGUGGUUCUUCACUCUCUUUUGCCCCCGCGGCAGUGGGGCCUAAGUGCUGGCUUGGGUCUUGUCUGUGCUAUGACAAGGUCCACGUAGUGCCAUGAUUAUGGGCCUCUAACAUAGUUUUUGAAGCAGGGUUGGAAGAAAGCACUAUAAUAUUUUAAUGUAUGGGAUUGAGUGGACUUUGAUCCUUAAGUUAGGACUCAAAGAGUUUGAAAGCUCCCAACGUGAAAGCACAUAGUGUUUGGGACAUUCUGUUUUUAGGACAUCUAGAAAGACUAAACCCAGCAAGAUUGCAAGUUUCAAAGUGUGCUGGUGUUAUAUAUGUCUGCUUAAAUAGAUUCAUUCGUUUCUGAAGUCUGAAAACUUUAUUCCAUAGGAAGGGGUUUAUUUGUCAACUUACAUGAAAGUGUUUUUUGGUGUUAAGUUAUCCCUAUGCUGUACUAGCACUCAACAAAGAGCAGUUCUUGAAGCAUUUCAUUUGGAGAGUUAAAGGCAGACUGUAAAAAAGAGAAGCGUUAUGACACUUAGAAAAUUUGUAUAGAUUUGGCAGCCAAAAUGAAUGAAAGGGGCUUCCCUGGUGGCGCAGUGGUUGAGAGUCCGCCUGCCAAUGCAGGGGACACAGGUUCGUGUCCCGGUCCGAGAAGAUCCCGCAUGCUGCGGAGCGGCUGGGCCCAUGAGCCGUGGUCGCUGGGCCUGCAUGGCCGGAGCCUGUGCUCCGCAACGGGAGAGGUCGCAGCAGUGAGAGGCCCGCGUAGCAC